rnacentral:rRNA from 1 species
GAUGAACGCUGGCGGUAUGCUUAACACAUGCAAGUCGAACGGUCUCUUCGGAGAUAGUGGCGGACGGGUGAGUAACGCGUGAGAACAUGCCUUUAGAUUGGGGACAACAGUUGGAAACGACUGCUAAUACCGAAUGUGCCUUAGGGUGAAAGAUUUAUUGUCUAGAGAUUGGCUCGCGUCAGAUUAGCUAGUUGGAGUGGUAACGGCACACCAAGGCGACGAUCUGUACUUGGUCUGAGAGGAUGACCAGGCACACUGGAACUGAGACACGGUCCAGACUCCUACGGGAGGCAGCAGUGGGGAAUUUUCCGCAAUGGGCGAAAGCCUGACGGAGCAAUACCGCGUGAGGGAGGACGGCUUUUGGGUUGUAAACCUCUUUUAUCAGGGAAGAAUCGAUGACGGUACCUGAUGAAUCAGCAUCGGCUAACUCCGUGCCAGCAGCCGCGGUAAUACGGAGGAUGCAAGCGUUACCCGGAAUUAUUGGGCGUAAAGCGUCCGUAGGUGGUUUAUCAAGUCUGCUGUCAAAGCGUGCGGCUUAACCGCAUAAGGGCAGUGGAAACUGAUGAACUAGAGUGCGAUAGGGGUAACAGGAAUUCCCAGUGUAGCGGUGAAAUGCGUAGAUAUUGGGAAGAACACCAGCGGCGAAAGCGUGUUACUGGGUCUGCACUGACACUGAGGGACGAAAGCUAGGGGAGCGAAAGGGAUUAGAUACCCCUGUAGUCCUAGCCGUAAACGAUGACAACUAGGCGUGGUUCGUAUCGACCCGAGCCGUGCCGUAGCCAACGCGUUAAGUUGUCCGCCUGGGGAGUACGCACGCAAGUGUGAAACUCAAAGGAAUUGACGGGGGCCCGCACAAGCGGUGGAGUAUGUGGUUUAAUUCGAUGCAACGCGAAGAACCUUACCAAGGCUUGACAUCCUCGGAACCCUGAUGAAAGUUAGGGGUGCCUUCGGGAGCCGAGAGACAGGUGGUGCAUGGCUGUCGUCAGCUCGUGUCGUGAGAUGUUGGGUUAAGUCCCGCAACGAGCGCAACCCACGUUUUUAGUUGCCAGCAUUCAGUUGGGCACUCUAGAGAGACUGCCGGUGACAAACCGGAGGAAGGUGUGGAUGACGUCAAGUCAGCAUGCCCCAUACGCCUUGGGCUACACACGUACUACAAUGCGUCGGACAAAGAGCAGCCAGCCAGCGAUGGUGAGCCAAUCUCAUAAACCGACGCUCAGUUCAGAUUGCAGGCUGCAACUCGCCUGCAUGAAGGCGGAAUCGCUAGUAAUCGCAGGUCAGCAUACUGCGGUGAAUACGUUCCCGGGCCUUGUACACACCGCCCGUCACACCAUGGGAGUUGGUCACGCCCGAAGUCGUUACUCUAACUGCUUGCAGAGGAGGACGCCGAAGGUGGGGCUGAUGACUGGGGUG